CGCGGAGGGGCUGCUGGGGCUUCCAGGAGGGCGCAUGUGCGGAUGACUGGCCGCAGGCGGCCGGGCGGGCUGUAACCCGCCGCUGAACUAGCGCUUCUGUGUCCAGAGGCUUCGGCCUGGCCGCCGUCGCCUGUAAGCUACGAGGAGGAGAUUUACGACUUGGCCGGGCGCAGCAAAGGCCAGACUCUGCGCGAACAGGCGCUGCGCACCAACCGGCAGGCACCUGGCGGGCACCAUCGCACGGUGGCGCAGAAGCCCCUCAAUGGCCAGCGCCAGCUGCAGCCGCGGCCGCGCAGUCGUCCCACCUGAGCUUGGGCGAAUGUGGAUUGGGAAAGUCGACAUUAAUCAACUCAUUAUUCCUCAUAGAUUUGUAUUCUCCAGAGUAUCCAGGUCCUUCUCACAGAAUUAAAAAGACUGUACAGCUGGCAGCCUGUUAUCGAUUACAUUGAUAGUAAAUUUGAGGACUACCUAAAUGCAGAAUCAUGCGUGAACAGACAUCAGAUGCCUGAUAACAGGGUGCAGUGUUGUUCAUACUUCAUUGCUCCUUCAGGACAUGGAAUUGCUAAAGGACACAAGGAAAAUCACAGCAGCUUACUUUUUCCUCAACGGAUAUUUGGGCACCUUCACGAGUGUUAGAUACCAUGCUAGGUCCUGAGGAUACAGAUGAAUGAGACAAGGCCCUCACUGCGAAGAGUAUUUCAGUGAGAAGAUGGGAG
rnacentral:lncRNA from 10 species